rnacentral:rRNA from 1 species
GAUGAACGCUGGCGGCGUGCCUAACACAUGCAAGUCGAACGAAGCGCCUUUUAAGAUUCUUCGGAUGAUUGAUUGGUGACUGAGUGGCGGACGGGUGAGUAACGCGUGGGUAACCUGCCCUGUACAGGGGGAUAACAGUUGGAAACGGCUGCUAAUACCGCAUAAGCGCACGAGAGGACAUCCUCUUGUGUGAAAAACUCCGGUGGUACAGGAUGGGCCCGCGUCUGAUUAGCUGGUUGGCAGGGUAACGGCCUACCAAGGCGACGAUCAGUAGCCGGUCUGAGAGGAUGAACGGCCACAUUGGAACUGAGACACGGUCCAAACUCCUACGGGAGGCAGCAGUGGGGAAUAUUGCACAAUGGGGGAAACCCUGAUGCAGCAACGCCGCGUGAGUGAAGAAGUAUUUCGGUAUGUAAAGCUCUAUCAGCAGGGAAGAUAAUGACGGUACCUGACUAAGAAGCUCCGGCUAAAUACGUGCCAGCAGCCGCGGUAAUACGUAUGGAGCAAGCGUUAUCCGGAUUUACUGGGUGUAAAGGGUGCGUAGGUGGCAGUGCAAGUCAGAUGUGAAAGGCCGGGGCUCAACCCCGGAGCUGCAUUUGAAACUGCAUAGCUAGAGUACAGGAGAGGCAGGCGGAAUUCCUAGUGUAGCGGUGAAAUGCGUAGAUAUUAGGAGGAACACCAGUGGCGAAGGCGGCCUGCUGGACUGUUACUGACACUGAGGCACGAAAGCGUGGGGAGCAAACAGG